AUACGUAGGGUGCGAGCGUUGUCCGGAAUUACUGGGCGUAAAGAGCUCGUAGGUGGUUUGUCGCGUCGUCUGUGAAAUUCCGGGGCUUAACUCCGGGCGUGCAGGCGAUACGGGCAUAACUUGAGUACUGUAGGGGAGACUGGAAUUCCUGGUGUAGCGGUGAAAUGCGCAGAUAUCAGGAGGAACACCGGUGGCGAAGGGGGGUCUCUGGGCAGUAACUGACGCUGAGGGGCGAAAGCAUGGGUAGCGAACAGGAUUAGAUACCCUGGUAGUCCAUGCCGUAAACGGUGGGCGCUAGGUGUAGGGGUCUUCCACGACUUCUGUGCCGUAGCUAACGCAUUAAGCGCCCCGCCUGGGGAGUACGGCCGCAAGGCUAAAACUCAAAUGAAUUGACGGGG
rnacentral:rRNA from 1 species